rnacentral:misc_RNA from 1 species
UAAUAUCUCAACACAGUCAAGUUGUUUGACUUGCACUGAUGCUUGGGUGCUGAAGGUUGCUGGCAAUAUUUGUCAGCUCCUUUUAAAUGUAUUAGCAGAAACUAUGCGAAAAGCUGGCUUCAGUUUGAUAAGCACUUAUCUGUAUUGCUGUUGCUAGUGAAAUGCUCUUGUUUCAGCUUCCAAUUGUCCAAUCAUUUGGACUGCCUCUCGAGGUAAUUUAAUCUUGAC